rnacentral:rRNA from 1 species
UGAGUUUGAUCAUGGCUCAGGAUGAACGCUGGCGGCGUGCUUAACACAUGCAAGUCGAACGGAGAAGAGCAGAGUACUUGUACAAAGCUUUUCUUAGUGGCGGACGGGCGAGUAACGCGUGAGCAACCUACCUUUAACUGGGGAACGACAACGGGAAACUGUUGAUAAUACCGCAUAAAGUACCGAGAUGACAUCAUCAUGGUACCAAAGAAGCAAUUCGGUUAGAGAUGGGCUCGCGUCUGAUUAGAUAGUUGGUGAGGUAACGGCUCACCAAGUCUACGAUCAGUAGCCGGACUGAGAGGUCGAUCGGCCGCAUUGGGACUGAGACAUGGCCCAGACUCCUACGGGAGGCAGCAGUGGGGAAUAUUGGGCAAUGGGCGCAAGCCUGACCCAGCAACGCCGCGUGAAGGAAGAAGGCUUCCGGGUUGUAAACUUCUUUAGACAGGGACGAAACAAAUGACGGUACCUGUAAAAUAAGCCACGGCUAACUACGUGCCAGCAGCCGCGGUAAUACGUAGGUGGCGAGCGUUAUCCGGAUUUACUGGGUGUAAAGGG